rfam:Plicaturopsis crispa FD-325 SS-3 unplaced genomic scaffold PLICRscaffold_5, whole genome shotgun sequence.
GCCCGACUAGCUCAAUCGGCUAGAGCGUCAGACUUUUACGAUGUCUUGACUUUGUCGGGUAGAUCGCCAUCUGAAGGCUGCGAGUUCGACCCUCGCGUUGGGCU